rnacentral:rRNA from 1 species
UCCAUGAUUCAGCGGCGGACGGGUGAGUAAUGCCUAGGAAUCUGCCUGGUAGUGGGGGACAACGUUUCGAAAGGAACGCUAAUACCGCAUACGUCCUACGGGAGAAAGUGGGGGAUCUUCGGACCUCACGCUAUCAGAUGAGCCUAGGUCGGAUUAGCUAGUUGGUGAGGUAAAGGCUCACCAAGGCGACGAUCCGUAACUGGUCUGAGAGGAUGAUCAGUCACACUGGAACUGAGACACAGUCCAGACUCCUACGGGAGGCAGCAGUGGGGAAUAUUGGACAAUGGGCGAAAGCCUGAUCCAGCCAUGCCGCGUGUGUGAAGAAGGUCUUAGGAUUGUAAAGACUUUAAGUUGGGAGGAAGGGCAGUAAGUUAAUACCUUGCUGUUUUGACGUUACCGACAGAAUAAGCACCGGCUAACUUCGUGCCAACAGCCGCGGUAAUACGAAGGGUGCAAGCGUUAAUCGGAAUUACUGGGCGUAAAGCGCGCGUAGGUGGUUCGUUAGGUUGGAUGUGAAAGCCCCGGGCUCAACCUGGGAACUGCAUCCAAAACUGGCGAGCUAGAGUAUGGCAGAGGGUGGUGGAAUUUCCUGUGUAGCGGUGAAAUGCGUAGAUAUAGGAAGGAACACCAGUGGCGAAGGCGACCACCUGGGCUAAUACUGACACUGAGGUGCGAAAGCGUGGGGGAGCAAACAGGAUUAGAUACCCUGGUAGUCCACGCCGUAAACGAUGUCGACUAGCCGUUGGGAUCCUUGAGAUCUUAGUGGCGCAGCUAACGCAUUAAGUCGACCGCCUGGGGGAG